rnacentral:lncRNA from 10 species
GUCCCUUUUUUAAGGCUCCCUUCAUAGCUAAGAAUUUACAAAUGUGAUUUCUUUUCUUUUUUUGAAAUCGAGAUAGGGUUUUGCCAUGUUGCUCAGGCCGGUGUUGAACUCCUGAGCUCAAGCCAUCCACUCGCCUCAGCCUCCCAAAGUGCCGGGAUUACAGGCAUGAGCAACCACACCUCGGCCUCAUAAAUGUAAUUUCAUGAUUUUCUGUGAGCAUGAAAUAUUUUGUGAUGUAUUGAUAGCAAGAAAACCAUAUUAUAAAUAAACCAUAAGCAAGAGUUAAGAUGAUAAAAUCAGUGAAUCUAAACAAAGCUUGUCUUUUUCAUUUCAAAAUGUGUUUGGGAAUGAAUUGUAAUUAUUUGGUCAACACUGUCUCAUGAGAAUACUUCAAGUAAUUUUAUUUAUUGUAAUGAAUAAUGGAUUAAGCCGGUUACUAAAUAUUAUCACCUUGUGUCAAUUUAAUUAUUACUAAUUUGUGGUUUUAAAAAGUUUUUCUUAAAGAAGUAUCUUGUAAGGCCGGCGCGGUGGCUCACGCCUGUAAUCCCAGCACUUUGGGAGGUCAAGGCGGGUGGAUCACGAGGUCAGGGGUUCGAGACCAGCCUGACCAACAUGGUGAAACCCUGUCUGUACUGAAAAUACAAAAAUUAGCUGGGCGUGGUGGCGGGCGCCUGUAAUCCCAGCUACUCAGGAGGCUGAGGCAGGAGAAUUGCUUGAACCCGGGAGGUGGAGGUUGCAGUGAGCUGAGAUUGUGCCACUGCAGUCCAGCCUGGGUGACAGAGCAAGACUGUCUCAAAAACAAACAAACAAACAAAAAAAAAAAACAAAGAUGUAUCUUGUAAAUGAUAAUUAAACUUUUUUUCAGUUAGCAAGUUUGAUUUGUUGCUUCCUUUGAGCAGUUGGUAAUGGACAUAUGGACAUUCAUCACUGAAAAGAAUCUCUUUUUUUAAGAUUUGCCAUUUUUGGCAGUCUGGUUCUACUUUCACAGGAAAAGAAUCCAUGUUAUUUUAUAUAUGAUCCCAAAAUCAGUUCCAUUUCUAAUUUUGUUACUAGUAUUGUACUCUGUCUUUUUACUAGGAAGAUUAUGUAGUGAAACCUCACAAUUUAUAUUUUCCUACAAUUUCUUUUCAUAUUGAGAGACCUUAUAAUGUAUCACUGACAGCAUAGUGUAGUGGUUAGGAGCCUGAACUUUGGAGCCUGAUGAAAUGAGUUUAAUUUCCUACUUCUUCUGCUCAUCUGUUAAUUUAAACUUUUUGUUAAUGUAAUUUUUGAGAGCGCCUCACUCUGUUGUUGAAAGGUUUCUGUGAUACACUAUAUAUAAAUUUCUUAGCCUGGGGCCUGACUCAUGGUAAGCAUUCAGUAAGUUAUAAUAUUGGUUAUGUAAAUGGUAGCUAUUUUUAUUAUUUCUUAAAACAUGAAUAAACUUAUAAGCAGAUUUUAUUAUGAAACUCAGCUUGAAAAAUAGGUAGUUGUGUAGGAUCUCUAUUAAUAUACAUUAAAUAUCAUUUCUAUCUCCUGCUAAAGAAUCUCACAAAUUAAGUAACCUUAAAGGUGGUAGACUCUUCUAGAUUGAUGUACAAGACUAUACCAAGAAUGACCCUUUGGUUCAUGGGUUAGCUGGUCUUCU